AUGAUAUGUGACUAAUCUGAAUUUAAAACACUGUAACAUAAACUAGAUGAAAAGUAUUACACAAAAUUUUUCUUUGUAUUUCUAUCUGUUUUGAAUUUACCAACAAUUCAAAUCUUGCUGAGAAUAUUUGCACUGUAAACAUUUCUGUGAUUAUUGGUUAUAUUCAAAUUUGCUCAUUUUCAAAGCUACCUGUAUGAAAUUAUUAAAAUUGUACAUAGCUGGAAUAAGAGUAUGUUGAAUAUAAAUGCCAUGUGAUACAUUUAUAUUUAAUAAUUAAAAGCAUAUUACAACACUUACGCCUAAUCUUAAAGUAAUUACACAUAUAAAGUAUCUCCCCAUUCAGAAGAUCUUAUAUUUCUUUCAGAAACCACGUGGCACAAAUAGUUAAUUUACCUUUUUUUUCUGUCUCUGUCUAUUUCUUAAUUUAUAUUCCAAAUUGUUAAAUAAUUUUAUCAUCCAGUCUUGAUGUCUGAAAACAUCUUAAAAUAGAGAAGUUCACAAUAUUAGAUGCUGUAUCUUUCUUCAUAUAAUGACAAAAGACUUUAGUUCUUUUCUCAAUUUUAGGAGAAGUUUUGCUUUAAGACCAAUAAAAACAUAAGUUUACAUAAGCUGAGAGCACGUUAUGUAUAGCGCACAUCUGAGGGAAUAAAGAAGGGCCUUCACAAGAAGAGGCUUGUUGCUAUCUCAUAUGUAAUCCAAUUUCAAGGAAGUAUAAAAGUGACAGG
rnacentral:lncRNA from 1 species